CUCGGCGAGCCGUCCCGGGGUGUGUGUGCGUGUGUGUGCGUGUAAGGUAUGCAUAUCACGUAGAAAGUCCUUAUAAGACACAAAACCCAACACGUGUGUGCGUGGGAAGAAACGAGGAAGGGGAUGGGCCAGCAUCUUGCCAACCAACAAAGGUGGAGGGCACAGUGUGAUCACAGAAGUUUCCGUCGGGCAAGUUACCAUCUGACAACUGCCCCGGGAUACUCGUUUCGGGCAAGAAGGAUCUCCGAGGGCUAAAACCAGCCACCGAGGGUUUCAGGGGGAAUGGGGCGUCUACACGGUCUCAACACACGUCUCCCCAGGAAAGCAAGCAAGCAGCAGCACGAGGGAUGCACGCACAGAGACAAGAAACGGGGGAAGGUGGCCGGCUUCCCAGCCCUGCGGACGCCUUGACCGUGAACGUGCAGCCUCCAGAACCGGGAGGAAAUAAAUCUCUGUCGUCUGAGCCCCCGGGUCCGUGGUGCUCGGUUGGGGCCGCCCGAGCGGACGAACGGCUGACACACAGCAUAAGCUCUGGGGGCGAGCAGGGUGUGCGUCACCGGGAGGUCGUGAAACGUGCAGGUGCCCGGGCCCCCGCCCAGACCCGCUGGGCCAGAAGCUGCAUUUUGGCAACCCCCCUCCCCCCACCCAUGCACGGUCUGCAUCCUUUAAGGCACACCCCUCUUGCCGCUUGUCAGGUGGGGGUCUCCCCGGGGCUCCAGAAAAUACCGCAGGGACUGGCACCCCCCCACGCCCGUGUGUCACACGCGUGGUGUAAACACAGUUGCGAGGCGCCUCCGAGGUGGUUUCCAACGUUUGAUGUCACAGACUGUUCGGAUUUGCCCGACGAGAGACACGACACAGAGACACGUUAGAAAUCAAACCAGGUUUAUUGAAACGACAAAACGACAGCAACGUGGUCCCCGUUCGUGCAAAGCACACACACACACAAUUUACAAUAAACUUUUU